CCGCCUUCCCGGGGCGCCCCCGCGGCCGCGCUGCCCGCCGGGCCUGGGCCCCUCGGAUGAGGCGGUGAGGCCGCGGCGCUUCCCCCUCCCCUCCCGGGUCCUUCCCCCCUCCCCUCCCCGUCCCUCCCGCCUCCUCCGGGGCCUCGGGCCCCGCUCCCCAUGUAGGAGGGAGGCCCGAGGCCGGCGUGGAUGGUGCGAGGGGCGGGCGCGGAGGGAGUUUGAAGUUCGGGGCUUUCGCGGAGUCCCCCCUCGCCGUUCCCGAGCGCAGCGGGGGAGGAAUGCCAAAUCCGGAGAGACAUGGGGGCAAGAAGGACGGCGGCGGGGGGGCCUCGCAGCCGGGCAGCGGGAGCUCCAACAGCAAGGAGAGGCACCGGGCGGGCUCCAGGCACAAGAGGCACAAGUCCAGGCACUCCAAGGAGUCCCCGCUGGCGGCCCAGGAAGCGGCGGCGCCCCUGGGAGCGGUGAUCAAGCCGCUGGUGGAGUACGAUGACAUCAGCUCGGACUCGGACACCUUCUCGGACGAUGUGGCCCUCAAGCUGGACAGGAGGGACAACGAGGAGAGGAGGGCGGAGAGGAGCGAGAGGGCCCAGAAGCACCGGCACCACCAGCACAAGCGGCUCCGGGAGCUGAUGAAGAGCAAACAGGCGGAGAAGGACAGGAAGUUGGAAAAGAGCCUGGAUGCUUCCAGCAGGUCCGCCAAGGAGAGGAUAUCGGGAUCCUCCAAGAGGCUCCUGGAGAGCGAGGAGCACCCCAAGGCUCUCUCCUCCAAGAGCAGCAACAAGGAAUCGCGCUCGGCCAAGGCGCACAAGGAGAAGUCCAGGAAGGAGCGGGAGCUCAAAUCCAGCCACAAAGAGCGCAGCAAAAGCCAUCGCAAAAGGGAUGCUCCCAAAAGUUACAAAACCAUCGACAGCCCCAAGAGGAAAUCCAGGAGCCCUCACAGGAAGUGGUCGGACAGCCCCAAACUGGACGACAGCCCCUCGGGAGCCUCCUACGUGCAGGAGUACGACCUCAGCCCGCCCCGCUCGCACACCUCCAGCACCUACGAUCCCUACAGGAAGAGCCCCGGCGGCUCCUCACGCCGCCAGUCCCUCAGCCCGCCCUACAAGGAACCCGUGGGUUACCAGUCCAACGCCCGCUCGCCCAGCCCCUACAGCCGGCGGCAGCGAUCCGUGAGCCCCUACGGCCGGAGGCGCUCGUCCAGCUACGAGCGGGGCAGCGGCUCCUACAGCGGGAGGUCGCCGAGCCCUUACAGCCGCCGCCGCUCCAGCAGCCCCUUCGCCUCCAAGCGCUCCGUGAGCCGGAGCCCCAUCGCCAGGAAAUCUGUGAAAUCCCGGAGCCGCAGCCCUGGCUACUCCAGGCACUCAUCUCACAGCAAAAAGCAGAGGUCUGGCUCCCGCAGCCGCCAUUCCAGCAUCUCCCCAAGCAGGCUCCCACUCAACUCCAGCCUGGGAGCAGAGCUCAGCAGGAAGAAGAAGGAGAGAGCGGCCGCUGCAGCAGCUGCAGCCAAGGUGGACGGCAAGGAGGCGAAAGGCUCCCCUGUUUUCCUGGCUAGGAAGGAGAACAGCUUGGCUGAGCUGAAGGAGGCUGGGACAGAGUCUAAAAAGGUCACCAAAAGUGUUAAAUCUGAGAAAGCUCCUGACACGGACUCGGUUAAUUUACUGUACACCAACGCAGAGCCUAAAGCCCCUGCGGAGACAACGAAAUCCAAGGCAGAGGAGAACUCGGAGAGGAAACACCCUGUUCCACUUAGGGAUUCCAAACCCACGGGAACAAAAGACUCGAAGCCUGUAGCAGCGGUAGAGGACCUGGUAUCUCCAAAGGAGACAGACACAGCCGAGAAGGAGAUUCCACCCCCCCUCCCCGCCAUCAAAUCCCCUCCUCCACCUCUGCCCACCACCACCCCUCCGCCUCCCACGCCGCCGCUGCCGCCGCUGCCUCCGUCACCCGCUGUCCCUCCUUUGCCUCCAGCCCCAGUGACUCCUGUUCAGGCCCCUCCACCUCCAGCCCCAACGUCUUUGCCAUCUUCUUCCCACCCAAGGACGUCUACUUUAUCCUCUCAGGUGAACUCCCAGUCCUCUGUGCAGGUGGCUCCAAAAACCCAAGUGUCUGUGACGGCUGCUAUCCCACACCUGAAAACUUCCACCUUGCCUCCGCUUCCGCUCCCCCCUAUUUUAGUUGGGGAAGAUGACUUGGAUAGUCCAAAAGAGAUUCUUCCUCCAAAACCUGUGAAGAAGGACAGAGAGCAGAGACCACGACACUUACUCACGGACCUCCCGCUCCCCCCAGAGCUCCCUGGGGGGGACCCAUCUCCUCCUGACUCCCCAGAACCAAAGGCAGCCACACCACCUCAGCAACCCUUCAAAAAGAGACCAAAAAUCUGUUGUCCUCGCUAUGGGGAGAGGAGGCAGACGGAGAGCGACUGGGGCAAGCGCUGCGUGGACAAGUUCGACAUCAUCGGCAUCAUCGGAGAAGGGACCUACGGGCAGGUCUACAAAGCCAAGGACAAGGACACAGGUGAGCUGGUGGCUCUGAAGAAGGUGCGCCUGGACAAUGAGAAGGAAGGAUUCCCCAUCACGGCCAUCCGUGAGAUCAAAAUCCUGCGGCAGCUCAUCCACCGCAGCGUGGUCAACAUGAAGGAGAUCGUCACAGACAAACAAGAUGCACUGGAUUUCAAGAAGGACAAAGGUGCCUUUUACCUUGUGUUUGAGUACAUGGACCAUGACCUAAUGGGGCUGCUAGAAUCUGGCUUGGUACAUUUCUCAGAGGACCAUAUCAAGUCUUUCAUGAAACAGUUAAUGGAGGGUCUGGAUUACUGUCACAAAAAGAAUUUCCUUCAUCGAGACAUCAAGUGCUCCAACAUCUUAUUGAACAACAGUGGGCAGAUCAAACUUGCAGAUUUUGGGCUCGCCCGACUCUACAGCUCGGAGGAGAGCCGUCCCUACACCAACAAAGUCAUCACGUUGUGGUACCGACCCCCAGAACUGCUGCUCGGGGAGGAGCGUUACACCCCUGCCAUUGAUGUGUGGAGCUGUGGCUGUAUCCUCGGGGAACUGUUUACAAAGAAGCCUAUUUUUCAAGCCAAUCUGGAACUGGCUCAGCUUGAAUUAAUCAGCCGGCUCUGUGGGAGCCCCUGCCCAGCUGUGUGGCCAGAUGUGAUCAAGCUGCCCUACUUCAACACUAUGAAGCCCAAGAAGCAAUACCGGCGGCGCCUGCGCGAGGAGUUCUCCUUCAUUCCCUCCUCUGCCCUGGACCUGCUGGACCACAUGCUGACGCUGGACCCUGGCAAACGCUGCACAGCAGAGCAGGCCCUGCACAGUGACUUCCUGAAGGACGUUGACCUCAGCAAAAUGGCACCUCCAGACCUCCCCCACUGGCAGGAUUGCCACGAGCUGUGGAGCAAGAAGCGGCGGCGGCAGCGGCAGAGCGGGAUGGCCGUGGAGGAGCCUCCGGUAUCAAAAGUUUCUCGGAAAGAAACUACCUCUGUUCCAAGCACAGACACUGUGAAAAACAACAGCAGUCCUGUGCCCCCCCAGCCUGCCCAGCUCAAAGCAGAGCCUGGUGCUGCAGAUGCAGUAGGCCUGGGCGACAUCACCCAGCAGCUGAACCAGAGCGAGCUGGCCGUGCUCCUGAACCUGCUGCAGAGCCAGACCGACCUGAGCGUGCCCCAGAUGGCCCAGCUGCUCAACGUGCACUCCAACCCCGAGAUGCAGCAGCAGCUGGAGGCUCUCAACCAGUCCAUCACGGCCCUGACCGAGGCCACGGCGCAGCACCACGAGCCCCCAGCGGCGGCGGCGGAGGAAGCGGCCGAGGAGCCGCCUGCAGAGGUGCAGGAGGAGCAGCAGACUCCGGAGGCAGCCAGCGCUCAGGGAGACAUGCAGAACGUGCUGGCAGUUCUGCUGAGUCAGCUGAUGAAGAGCCAGGAGCCUGGGAUAACCCUGGAGGAGAGCAACGGGGAGAAGAGCAGCGAGCAGCGGGGCUCCAGGAAAACCCCGACGAGGCAUCCCGAGGAGAGCACAGCGUGUCCUCCUGGCAUUGUCCCACCAGAGAAGAGACCCCCCGAGCCCCCCGGACCGCCGCCGCCUCCUCCCGUGGCCGAAGGGGAUCUCUCCGGAGCAGCCCAGGAGUUGAACCCGGCCGUGACGGCUGCGCUGCUCCAGCUCCUUUCCCAGCCCGACCCGGAGCCGCUCGGCCUCGCCUCGCAGGAGCCGCCGGCCCCGGACUACGGCCGCUCGCAGCCCGGCAGGACUUACAGCACCGACAGCUCCGAGGGGGGAUUCGGUGCCGAGGAGCUCAAUAAUCCGGGCCAGACUCUGCUAGAACCUCCUUCUGCCCAAGCCUUGGGGAAAAGCAGGACCUUCUUGGGCUCCGUGAGCCACCUCGGGGAGAGCAGCAGCUACCAGGGCACGGGCUCGGUGCAGUUCCCCGGGGACCAGGACCUGCGCUUCGCCAGAGUCCCCGUGGGCGGCAUCCACGCGUUCGGCAAAUCCGAGGGGAGCAACAACAACGCGCUGCUACAUCCAGAGGCCAAAAUGCAGAGUUACAGCGAGCUGGGGCCGGGAACGGGCGGUUCCAGUGGGGCAGGAACAGGUCACAGCUGGGGUGCCCCAACCCAGGCGCCGUCUUCCUAUGGGAAGACAUUCCGAGGGCCUGGCCGAGUGCCUCCACGGGGGGGCCGGGGCCGGGGGGUUCCCUACUGACAUUCCUGGGAUGGCCCCCUUGCCUCUCCUCUCCUUUAGCCACAGGACUUGAUUUUUUUUUCAUUUUAAUUUUUUUAAUUUUUUUUUUGUUUUUGGCCAGAGCAAGGUCUCGUCCGCAUUUCAGCUGCUGCAGAGCUCCCUGGGCAUCCCUCCCUCGCUCAGGAGAUGCCAGAGGGUCCCCACUGGCCUCCCCUGCUUGGUUAGUGACAAAAAUAAUCCCAACCCCGCAGCAAACUGAGCCAGGAGAGAGGGGGAUUGAUGGAAAAGUGGGAAUGGAAGGAAGAAGGAAUUUUUAAAAUGCUGUUACCCCAAGCUGGGCACUGGAGUUUGCCCGUGGGUCAGGGAGGGCUGGGGGGAGGCUGCUUCCCAAAGCGGUUUUAUUUUUAUUGUUGUUGUUUUGUUUGUUUUCCCCAUUUCCUUAAGAAAAAAAAAAAAUGAAAGAACAAAUGAAAAGGGGAAUUUAUCGAUGCAGAGGCACCUGGAUGGGUUAUCCCAGCACGGGGACCUGGCAUGUGACACUGGUUGUGUUUGAUUUAUCUGAUGUUGCUUUUUUUUCCAUAAAGUAUCCAGUUUUCCCUCUGCUCCAGGGCCAGUCCUGUCCCCUGUGACAGCAGCCUUAGUACAUUGAUUUUUGGGAAGGGUCUCUGGGUGUUGGAUCCCUCCUGCUGUAACUUGGCAGUGGGAAUUGUCUUUUUCUUUUUUUUUUUUUUUUUUUUUUUUUGUCUUUUAUUUUAAUUUCUUUUUAUGAGCCGAGGAGAACACCUCCCUGAAAACCAGGGAUUUCUGCCAUUUGUAACUUUCAGAACCCUUCAAGAAUUAAAAAAAGAGGAAACAAAAAUCCCAACAUCUGGUGGGAUUUGCCAGCAGAUGGGAGUGAUUUGUCCCCGGAAUCCUGGGCCAGUGCUGCCCAUCCUGCCGAGGUCAGUCACAUCUCAGCCCUUUGAGGUUUUCCAGGUGUUCCUGUGUCAUUUCCAUGAGCAUAUUUCUAUUUUUGUUGUUGUCAAGGAAGUAUUUACGAUGGAUUUUCUCCUCCCACAGACCCUUGCGCUGUUCAUUUCAAUGAGACUUAAAAAGAGACGAAUAAAACAAAGAGAGAUAAAUUUAAAUAAAUGCACCUGAAUAGGUGAUGCUUCUCCACCUGGGGAGAUCCUGCCUUACCCAGCUUUGCCGUGGGAGGAAAGAAGGGAGAGAAAUUAAAUAUAUAGAUAUAUUUUUUAUUUUUAUUUGCUGGUGAUAUGCAGGGACCGGUGGCUCCCAGCACUGAGGAGCAAUGCUGUUUGCAGAAUUCCCACUGGAAAUUUGUAGGGUUUGGGAAUUUUUUUUUUUGUUGGCUUGAUGAUUUUUUUUUAUUUUAACUUAGUUCAUGCCUGAUGUGCAGAGAGAAAAAAAGAGAAGUUCUGUGAGACACAGAGUGCACUGAACCCAGCGAGGGGCUUUAGGGGGGGUUAAUUUCUCUAUUUCCCAUUUUCCUGGCACCAGCUCCAGGCUGCCAUGGAGCUGCUGCUGCUGCUGAUUUUUUUCUUCCCAAUCCCAUCCUCUUUGGAAGGAAAAGUCUUGUUCCUAUGCUGAAUCCUCUUAGGAAGCUGGUGCCUAUUUAUUGUCUCUCCAAACUGGCACAUUCCCAGGAAAUCUGCCGGGAACGAGCCGAGCCCUCCUCGACCUCCCGCUCCCCAUGCUGGUGUCACACUGGCUUUGAGGCCCCAGUUUGGGGUGGUUGGUCCCAGUUCGGGGGUCAUCAAUCCCAGUUUGGGGUGGUUGGUCCCAGUUUGGGGGUCAUCAAUCCCAGUUUAGGGUGAUCUUUCCCAGCUGGGUCUCCCCAAGCCCUCCCUGGCCCAGCUCCAUCUCCUGCAGCAGGGCUGGGGGCCAGCGAGGGCUCCUGUCCCCUGUCCCAGCCCCAGCCAGGGAUGGACAUUCCAGGCAUCUGUUCCCUGCUCCGUGGCAGCUGCCAGCUGUCCCCAGGGCCCCUCGGGGCUCCUGUGGAAGGUGAUUCCAUCAUUCCUUUCUCUGAGCCCCCUCCUUACUCCCGGCUCCCAGUGGCUUUUCCUAACUGGUCCCAGCACGAGGCUUUCCAGGGGGUCUGGGGGGGAACCAGCCUGGCCAGGUCCUGGGGGGCUGUGGGGCCACUCCUGGCUUCCAUCACCUCUUUUUCAUUUAUUUCCCCACACCCUUUUAUUUUAUUUUUUGUUUAAUUUUACCUUUUUUCCGAUGCUCUGCACAAGGAAGACAAAAGGAUUCACGGUGUUGGGUGGGAUCUGUGCGUUUGGGAGGAUUUAAACUGGUGCAGUUACAGACAAGGGAGUGAGGACAGCUCCCCCCUCCUUCCCCCCGUGCUGGCUCUGGGUUCAAUCCCAAAUUCUCCCCCUGUAGCAGUUCCCAGCAGAGAAGCCUCUGGUCAGACUCUUGCUGUACCUCUCCUGAGUUUCCUUCGGAGAGCGAGCGCGCCUUUUUUCGGUUGUACCUUUGUCUCUGUACAGAUAUUUUGUAAUAUAU